rnacentral:lncRNA from 1 species
UUGACAUUCAGGACCUAGGUACAAAUUUGGGAGACUAUAUUACAAUAUAUAUUAUUGACACUGCCCACUGGAACAAUGUACCAAUAUUUAUCUACUAUGUAUAGCAUAGUGCCCUACUAUACGAUGUGAUCAGGCAUUGGAGGCAAUUAGCUGAAUAUGUGUUUAAUCUAAGAUGUAUCAUUUAUUAAUUGAUACAGUUAGGCUUUGUGUUCCCACCCAAAUCUCAUCUUGAAUUGUAAUCCCCAUAACACCACGUGUCAAGAGAGGGACCUGGUGGAAACUGAUUGAAACAUUUGGGUGGUCCCCCUAUGCUGUUAUGAUAGUGAGUGAGUUAUGAGAUCACAUGGGUUUAUAAGUGGCAGUUUCCCCUGCUCUUCUCUCUCUCUUGCCACCUUGUGAAGAAGGUGCUUGCUUCCCCUUUGCCUUCCACCAUGAUUGUAAGAUUCCUGAGGCUUUCCCAGCUGUGUGGAAAUAAUACUUUCCAUCCAUGGUUGGUUGAAUCCACGGACACAGAACCCACAGAUAUGAAGGGUUGAGUAUACCUGAUAAUGGUAAUAAAUGACUGCAACUAGUUUAUGUAUUUACUGUACUAUACUUUUUAUCAUUAUUUUAGAGUGCACUCUAUUGUUUUUUUAAAAAAGUUAACUGUAAGAUUAACUGUAAGAUGGUCUCAGGCACGUUCUUCAUCAGGUAUUCCAGAAAAGGUAUUGUUAUCAUUGGAGAUGACAGCUUCAUGCUCCCUGUAUGUUAUUGUCCCUGAAGACCUUCCAAUGGGACAAGAUGUGAAGGUGAAAGACAAUGAUAUUGAUGAUAUUGACCAUGUAGAGGCCUAGGCUAGUAUGUGUGUUGUGACGUAGAUUUUAACCAAAACAGUUUAAAAAUAUAUUAAAAAAUAG